AUUGAACGCUGGCGGCAGGCCUAACACAUGCAAGUCGAACGAGUGGCGGACGGGUGAGUAAUGUCUGGGAAACUGCCUGAUGGAGGGGGAUAACUACUGGAAACGGUAGCUAAUACCGCAUACCAUCGGAUGUGCCAAGAUGGGAAUAGGUAGUUGGUGGGGUAAAGGCUCACCUAGGCGACGAUCCCUAGCUGGUCGGAGAGGAUGACCAGCCACACUGGAACUGAGACACUGUCCAGACUCCUACGGGAGGCAGCAGUGGGGAAUAUUGCGCAAGGGGCGCAAGCCUGAUGCAGCCAUGCCGCGUGUAGGAAGAAGGCCUGCGGGUUGUAAAGUACUUUCAGCGGGGAGGCGUUACCCGCAGAAGAAGCACCGGCUAACUCCGUGCCAGCAGCCGCGGUAAUUC
rnacentral:rRNA from 1 species